rnacentral:rRNA from 1 species
UACGAAGGGGACUAGCGUUGUUCGGAAUCACUGGGCGUAAAGCGCACGUAGGCGGAUAUGUCAGUCAGGGGUGAAAUCCCGGGGCUCAACCUCGGAACUGCCUUUGAUACAGCAUAUCUUGAGUCCGAUAGAGGUGGGUGGAAUUCCUAGUGUAGAGGUGAAAUUCGUAGAUAUUCGGAAGAACACCAGUGGCGAAGGCGACUUACUGGACACAUAUUGACGCUGAGGUGCGAAAGCGUGGGGAGCAAACAGG